rnacentral:rRNA from 1 species
GACGAACGCUGGCGGCGUGCUUAACACAUGCAAGUCGAACGGAAAGGCCCUGCUUUUGUGGGGUGCUCGAGUGGCGAACGGGUGAGUAACACGUGAGUAACCUGCCCUUGACUUUGGGAUAACUUCAGGAAACUGGGGCUAAUACCGGAUAGGAGCUCCUGCUGCAUGGUGGGGGUUGGAAAGUUUCGGCGGUUGGGGAUGGACUCGCGGCUUAUCAGCUUGUUGGUGGGGUAGUGGCUUACCAAGGCUUUGACGGGUAGCCGGCCUGAGAGGGUGACCGGCCACAUUGGGACUGAGAUACGGCCCAGACUCCUACGGGAGGCAGCAGUGGGGAAUAUUGCACAGUGGGCGGAAGCCUGAUGCAGCAACGCCGCGUGCGGGAUGACGGCCUUCGGGUUGUAAACCGCUUUCGCCUGUGACAAAGCGUGAGUGACGGUAAUGGGUAAAGAAGCACCGGCUAACUACGUG